rnacentral:hammerhead_ribozyme from 1 species
AUCUAGUUGACGAGUCCUAAAUAGGAAGAAACGCGUGUGUCCUGGAU